AUGGCUGCCUCCUAGAACAACGUGGUUUUCGUCCUGUGCUCUUGUCGGACAUGCUUACACAAGUGUGGGAUGUAAUCGAACUUCUCAACGCUCUGGAUUGGGAAAUAAUUACUUGGUCUGUUUUGCUAGCUUUUGUGUAGUAGUGAAUUUUUGCAACACAUAUCAUGUGUUCUUUGGAAAUGGCAGAUUUUGAUUUACUGCAAUGGCAAUACGCUGACAAUGGAAUGGAAAUUCGACAUUUCCUUUUCAUAACUCUUGUCUAGCAAGGUUUGUAAUUAUUUGAAUGAGAAUGGUUAUUGGUGUACUUGGUGUACAAGACAUGGCAUCACCUCAAAAUUCUACAGUAAACAAAAAGUUGUUGCUUAAAUAAAGAAGGUUGAUCCAGAAGCCCCAGGUGAAACCAAGAAAAUGUCAAAAACUUUUGGGUUCCAAUACGUCAUUUCUACUACUAUAAAGGACUCGGAAGUUGGUGUCAGCAAAAGUCCCUCAAAGAUGUGUGUAUUCUUCAUAUAAAGCAUCCCGAAGUUUACCACCAUUUGGGCAUGUCACCAUCAAGAGGAUUUCUUCUUCACUGUCUGUAUGA